ACGAGAACUGCAUUUGAACUCGAUCACAAAGAUGUCGCCGAAGAAGAAGAUGUAGU
rnacentral:tRNA from 1 species